rnacentral:misc_RNA from 1 species
UCGUAACAAGGUUUCCGUAGGUGAACCUGCGGAAGGAUCAUUACCGAGUGCGGGUCCGCGUGGCCCAACCUCCCACCCGUGCCUAUUGUACCCUGUUGCUUCGGCGGGCCCGCCAGCCUUCGGGCUGGCCGCCGGGGGGCGUUUCGCCCCCGGGCCCGUGCCCGCCGGAGACCCCAACAUGAACCCUGUUCUGAAAGCUUGGUGUCUGAGUGUGAUUGUUUGCAAUCAGUUAAAACUUUCAACAAUGGAUCUCUUGGUUCCGGCAUCGAUGAAGAACGCAGCGAAAUGCGAUAACUAAUGUGAAUUGCAGAAUUCAGUGAAUCAUCGAGUCUUUGAACGCACAUUGCGCCCCCUGGUAUUCCGGGGGGCAUGCCUGUCCGAGCGUCAUUGCUGCCCUCAAGCCCGGCUUGUGUGUUGGGCCCUCGUCCCCCGGCUCCCGGGGGACGGGCCCGAAAGGCAGCGGCGGCACCGCGUCCGGUCCUCGAGCGUAUGGGGCUUUGUCUUCCGCUCUGCAGGCCCGGCCGGCGCCCGCCGACGCAUAACAACUUUUUUUCCAGGUUGACCUCGGAUCAGGUAGGGAUACCCGCUGAACCUAAGCAUAUCA